GCCGGGCGUGGUGGCGUGUGCCUGUAGUCCCAGCUACUUGGGAGUCUGAGGAUGGAGGAUCACUUGAGCCCAGGAGUUCUGGGCUGCAGUGCACUAUGCCGAUCAGGUGUCCGCACUAAGUUUGGCAUCAAUAUGGUGACCUCUCGGGAGCGGGGGACCACCAGGUUGCCUAAGGAGGGAUGAACCAGCCCAGGUCGGAAACGGAGCAGAUCAAAUUAUUUUACAGGCAGGAUUGUGGGUCACCCAGCAAGUAUAGAUCAUCCUAUGUGUGGGACUAUGUGAUAGCUUGGUAGAGCUUAGGGAAGCUACCCUCAU
rnacentral:SRP_RNA from 1 species